rnacentral:rRNA from 1 species
CAGUCGCCACGGUAAUACGUAGGUAGCAAGCGUUGUCCGGAAUUAUUGGGCGUAAAGGGCUCGCAGGCGGUUUCUUAAGUCUGAUGUGAAAGCCCCCGGCUCAACCGGGGAGGGUCAUUGGAAACUGGGAAACUUGAGUGCAGAAGAGGAGAGUGGAAUUCCACGUGUAGCGGUGAAAUGCGUAGAGAUGUGGAGGAACACCAGUGGCGAAGGCGACUCUCUGGUCUGUAACUGACGCUGAGGAGCGAAAGCGUGGGGAGCGAACAGGAUUAGAUACCCGCGUAGUCCCUGUCUCUUAUAC